rnacentral:misc_RNA from 1 species
UUAAGUUCAGCGGGUAGUCCUGACUGAUUUGAGGUCUAAAGUUUAAGUGCUUUAUAAAAGCGCAUUAGAAGCACCUCUUAUUUUUGAAGAAGACGUCCUCAGCGAAAUAAUUAUUACGCCAAGUCAAACCGUCUAUUUCAAAUGGGUUGCUCGUGUAUUUCAGCCGAGCCGACUUUACGCCGACAGACAGCCAUAAUCCA